AAAACAUGUGUGCGUGAGUCAGCGACUCACUGGAAAGCCGCUAUGGUGCAAUGAAGGUGAAGGGUGGGCUGAGGUGGGAUCCUGAGACCUCUCCAGUCCACGGAGGGCACACCACGGGCCCAUCUUGCUUGCUGUGCUGGGGAGAUGGAGCAUGAUGGCACAUGUUAGUACUCAAAAGAUGGCAAACCAUGCCUGGGCAGGGCAAAGCCAGAAGAAACUCUUGUGGAGGUCUGUAGAGGUCCUGACAUGCAAAUCAGUCUUCUGACCUGGGUAUAGGGGUGAAAGACUAAUCGAGCCAUCUAGUAGCUGG
rnacentral:ncRNA from 1 species